GGCUCAGUGGCGAAGUGGUUAACGCUACGGUUUGCAAAACCGUCAUUCACCGGUUCGACUCCGGUCUGAGCCU
rnacentral:tRNA from 1 species